AGAGUUUGAUUCUGGCUCAGAACGAACGCUGGCGGCGUGGAUAAGACAUGCAAGUCGAACGACAAUCAGAGGGUAGCAAUAUUUUCUGGUUGGAGUGGCGCAAGGGUGCGUAACACGUGGGUAAUCUGCCGUGAAGUUGGGGAUAACUCGCUGAAAGGCGAGCUAAUACCGAAUGUGAUUGUUAGGAGGCAUCUCCAGACAAUCAAAGUUGGGGACCGAAAGGCCUGAUGCUUCACGAUGAGCCCGCGGCCUAUCAAGCUAGUUGGUGAGGUAACGGCCCACCAAGGCGAUGACGGGUAGCUGGUCUGAGAGGACGACCAGCCACACUGGAACUGAGACACGGUCCAGACACCUACGGGUGGCAGCAGUCGAGAAUUUUUCUCAAUGGGCGCAAGCCUGAAGGAGCGACGCCGCGUGGGGGAUGAAGGGCUUCGGCUCGUAAACCCCUGUCAUUUGCGAACAAUUCUGUUGGUCGAAUAAGCCAGCAGUUGAUAGUAGCAAAAGAGGAAGGGACGGCUAACUCUGUGCCAGCAGCCGCGGUAAUACAGAGGUCCCAAGCGUUGUUCGGAUUCACUGGGCGUAAAGGGUGCGUAGGCGGUAAGGUAAGUUUGGUGUGAAAUCUCCAGGCCUAACCUGGAAACUGCACUGAAUACUAUCUUGCUCGAGGGUCGGAGGGGAGACUGGAAUUCUCGGUGUAGCAGUGAAAUGCGUAGAUAUCGAGAGGAACACCAGUGGCGAAGGCGAGUCUCUGGACGAUUCCUGACGCUGAGGCACGAAAGCUAGGGGAGCAAACAGGAUUAGAUACCCUGGUAGUCCUAGCCCUAAACGGUGCACAUUUGCUGUGAGCGGAAUCGACCCCGUUCGUGGCGUAGCUAACGCAUUAAAUGUGCCGCCUGGGAAGUACGGCCGCAAGGUUAAAACUCAAAGAAAUUGACGGGGGCCUGCACAAGCGGUGGAGUAUGUGGCUUAAUUCGAUUCAACGCGAAGAACCUUACCUGGCCUUGACAUGUAGGUAGUAGAAGGAUGAAAGUCUAACGAGGUAGCAAUACCAGCCUACACAGGUGCUGCAUGGCUGUCGUCAGCUCGUGUCGUGAGAUGUUGGGUUAAGUCCCGCAACGAGCGCAACCCUCGUGUCCUGUUGCAAUCCGAACGAGAGUUCGGAGCACUCUGGACAGACUGCCUCAUUUAAAUGAGGAGGAAGGUGAGGAUGACGUCAAGUCAGGAUGGCCCUUACGGCCAGGGCUGCACACGUACUACAAUGCGCGGCACAAAGAGAAGCAAGACCGCAAGGUGGAGCAAAUCUCAAAAAACCGCGCCCAGUUCAGAUUGUCGGCUGCAACUCGCCGACAUGAAGCUGGAAUCGCUAGUAAUGGCGCAUCAGCUACGGCGCCGUGAAUACGUUCCCAGGCCUUGUACACACCGCCCGUCACAUCAUGAAAGCCGGUUGUACCCGAAGUCAGCGCGCCAACCGCAAGGAGGCAACUGCCGAAGGUAUGGCUGGUGAUUGGGAUGAAGUCGUAACAAGGUA
rnacentral:rRNA from 1 species